AUUGUGCCAGCCGCCGCGCGGUAAUACGUAGGGUGCAAGCGUUGUCCGGAUUUAUUGGGCGUAAAGAGCUCGUAGGCGGUUAGUCACGUCGGAUGUGAAAACCCGGAGCUUAACUCCGGGCCUGCAUUCGAUACGGGCUGACUCGAGUGUUGUAGGGGAGACUGGAACUCCUGGUGUAGCGGUGAAAUGCGCAGAUAUCAGGAAGAACACCGGUGGCGAAGGCGGGUCUCUGGGCAACUACUGACGCUGAGGAGCGAAAGCGUGGGGAGCAAACAGGAUUAGAUACCCUGGUAGUCCACGCCCUAAACGAUGUUCUCUAGUUUUUCCAAGUAUCGACCCUUGGAGAGAUGAAGCUAACGCGUUAAGAGAACCGCCUGGGAAGUACGGCCGCAAGGCUAAAACUCAAAGGAAUAGACGGGGACUUGCACAAGCGGUGGAUCAUGUGGUUUAAUUCGACGGUGAACGAAGAACCUUACCAGGGCUUGAAAUCCCGCCUGUAAACCUUGCCGAAAGGCAUGGCUUCUUACAAGGAAGGCGGGACAGGUGAUGCAUGGCUGUCGUCAGUUCGUGGUUUGAAUUGUUCCCUUAAGUGGGGCAACGAACGCAACCCUCAUUGUCUGUUACAAGUGUCAGGCGAGACUGCCCUUUUUGGGAGGAAGGAGAGGACGACGUCAAGUCAGCAUGUCCCUCUGACGCCCUGGGCUACACACAUGAUACAAUGGCUGGUACAAAGAGUCGCAAAGCCGAGAGGCGGAGCAAAUCUCAUCAAAACCAGUCUCAGUUCGGAUUGAGGUCUGCAACUUGACCUCAUGAAGCUGGAAUCGCUAGUAAUCGCGGGUCAGCUAUACCGCGGUGAAUACGUUCUCAAGUCUUGCACACACCGCCCGUCAAAU
rnacentral:rRNA from 1 species